AUACGUAGGUGGCAGGCGUUGUCCGGAAUUAUUGGGCGUAAAGCGCAUGUAGGCGGUUUGGUAAGUCGGUCGUGAAAAUGCGGUGCUUAACGCCGUAUGGCGAUUGAAACUGCUGAACUUGAGUGCAGGAGAGGAAAGGGGAACUCCCAGUGUAGCGGUGAAAUGCGUAGAUAUUGGGAAGAACACCGGUGGCGAAGGCGCCUGUCUGGACUGUGUCUGACGCUCAGAUGCGAAAGCCAGGGUAGCGAACGGGAUUAGAUACCCCGGUAGUCCUGGCCGUAAACGAUGGGUACUAGGUGUGGGAGGUAUCGACUCCUUCCGUGCCGGAGUUAACGCAAUAAGUACCCCGCCUGGGGAGUACGGCCGCAAGGCUUAAACUCAAAUGAAUUGACGGGG
rnacentral:rRNA from 1 species